GCGGGCAUCGUAUAAUGGCUAUUACCUCAGCCUUCCAAGCUGAAGAUGCGGGUUCGAUUCCCGCUGCCCGCU
rfam:Alishewanella agri BL06 contig023, whole genome shotgun sequence.